rnacentral:rRNA from 1 species
UACGUAGGGGGCUAGCGUUAUCCGGAUUUACUGGGCGUAAAGGGUGCGUAGGCGGUCUUUUAAGUCGGGAGUGAAAGGCUACGGCUCAACCGUAAAAUUGCAGUUGAUACUGGUUUCCUUGAGUGCAGUUGAGGCAGGCGGAAUUCGUGGUGUAGCGGUGAAAUGCUUAGAUAUCACGAAGAACCCCGAUUGCGAAGGCAGCUUGCUAAACUGUAACUGACGUUCAUGCUCGAAAGUGUGGGUAUCAAACAGG